rnacentral:misc_RNA from 1 species
GUGAAUCAUCAAAUUUUUGAACGCAAAUUGCACUCUCUUCGGAGAGUAUGCUUGUUUGAGGGUAAGCCUAAAAAAAAUCGAAUUAGUGGUGUUUUCGCGGGACAAUUCGUGGGAAAUUGGGCAAUCUUAAACCUUUGGGUUUUAAGGGGCUUAAAUUUUCCUUUACGAUUCAACGAACGUUUCUAAGUUUUAUUUACACGUUUAGGGUAUCGAUCUUUAUUGGCGGUGGCGGUGGCAUGGGAU